CAUAUUUUCCAGUCUGUAAGCAGUUCUUGUCCUGUUUGCAGCUCCUUGAGGAACUGACCUGCUUCUCCUGGAAUGGCCUUGUAACCUUUGAACCAUCAUUCCUCUGCCCAGAAGAAAGGACUGCUGCCUUACUUUAUCUGAACCACUGUGCUCAUCCCGACCUGCCAAGAAGUCAUUUCAGAUUUUUCUUUUUUCCCCGCCCCCACAAAAGAAGUCGGUGAAGUCCAUUGCUGCUACAGCUCUAUCCAAGCCCGGAGCAGGUCUGCAGAAAAAGAAUCUGACUUGCCGAAUUUGAACUCUUAGAGGAAUUUCACAAGAAAGCAGUCACCCUUUCCGCUAAGAGCUGAAAACAUUUAUUGUUUGUUCCACUUUACUGUGCACCUGAGUAUUUUUCACAACAUAAGGAAGGUAGUUGUAUUCCCCAACUGUGUUUAUUAUUAUCCGAAUUGUAGUUCUCCU